AGAGUUUGAUCCUGGCUCAGAGCGAACGCUGGCGGUAUGCUUUACACAUGCAAGUCGAACGGAUUUGGGGGCUUGCUCCCAAGUUAGUGGCGAACGGGUGAGUAAUAUAUCGGAACAUAUCCGGAAGUGGGGGAUAACGUAGCGAAAGUUACGCUAAUACCGCAUAUGCCCUGAGGGGGAAAGGGGGGGAUCGCAAGACCUCUCGCUUUCGGAGUGGCCGAUAUCGGAUUAGCUAGUAGGUGAGGUAAAGGCUCACCUAGGCGACGAUCCGUAGCUGGUCUGAGAGGACGACCAGCCACACUGGAACUGAGACACGGUCCAGACUCCUACGGGAGGCAGCAGUGGGGAAUUUUGGACAAUGGGCGAAAGCCUGAUCCAGCCAUACCGCGUGAGUGAAGAAGGCCUUCGGGUUGUAAAGCUCUUUCAGCCGGAAAGAAAUUGCAUCUAUUAAUACUAGGUGUAGAUGACGGUACCGGAAGAAGAAGCACCGGCUAACUACGUGCCAGCAGCCGCGGUAAUAC
rnacentral:rRNA from 1 species